rnacentral:rRNA from 1 species
UGAGGAAUAUUGGACAAUGGGCGCAAGCCUGAUCCAGCCAUGCCGCGUGCAGGAAGACUGCCCUAUGGGUUGUAAACUGCUUUUAUACGGGAAGAAACACUCCCUCGUGAGGGAGCUUGACGGUACCGUAAGAAUAAGGAUCGGCUAACUCCGUGCCAGCAGCCGCGGUAAUACGGAGGAUCCAAGCGUUAUCCGGAAUCAUUGGGUUUAAAGGGUCCGUAGGUGGAUAAUUAAGUCAGAGGUGAAAUCCUGCAGCUCAACUGUAGAAUUGCCUUUGAUACUGGUUAUCUUGAGUCAUUAUGAAGUGGUUAGAAUAUGUAGUGUAGCGGUGAAAUGCAUAGAUAUUACAUAGAAUACCAAUUGCGAAGGCAGAUCACUAAUAAUGUACUGACACUGAUGGACGAAAGCGUGGGGAGCGAACAGGAUUAGAUACCCUGGUAGUCCACGCCGUAAACGAUGGUCACUAGCUGUUCGGAUUUCGGUCUGAGUGGCUAAGCGAAAGUGAUAAGUGACCCACCUGGGGAGUACGUUCGCAAGAAUG